rnacentral:rRNA from 1 species
GAUGAACGCUAGCUACAGGCUUAACACAUGCAAGUCGAGGGGCAGCGGGAUUGAAGCUUGCUUCAAUUGCCGGCGACCGGCGCACGGGUGAGUAGCGCGUAUCCAACCUUCCGUACACUCAGGGAUAGCCUUUCGAAAGAAAGAUUAAUACCUGAUGGUAUGAUGAGAUUGCAUGAUAGCAUCAUUAAAGAUUUAUCGGUGUACGAUGGGGAUGCGUUCCAUUAGGUAGUAGGCGGGGUAACGGCCCACCUAGCCAACGAUGGAUAGGGGUUCUGAGAGGAAGGUCCCCCACAUUGGAACUGAGACACGGUCCAAAACUCCUACGGGAGGCAGCAGUGAGGAAUAUUGGUCAAUGGACGAGAGUCUGAACCAGCCAAGUAGCGUGAAAGGAUGAAGGUCCUACGGAUUGUAAAACUUCUUUUAUAAGGGAAUAAACCCUCCACGUGUGGGAGCUUGUAUGUACCUUAUGAAUAAGCAUCGGCUAACUCCGUGCCAG